AUGGCGGACAAGAAUAUGCCGCCCGGGGGGCUGAAGCAACGCGGCCCGGCUCUGCCGAAGAUCCCGGGGCGUCACCAAGCCACGGGGGGUGCGCGUCCUGCUGCUGCGCCUAGUAAAGGUGCUGCCCCUCCUACACAAACUGCCAUCGCUGUGCCACCGCCACCGAUCCCUCCUACCCCACCGGUGCAAGUCUUCGACGAGCGUUACAAGGAUAUGGUUUGCUUUACCUGUGGAGGCCCUGGCCACUACGUUGGUAAUUGCAUCCAGAAGAAAGCUUGCUUCAUCUAUGGAUUGGAGGGUCACAAUGUCAAUAAUUGCACAGCCUGGGCGCAACCUCAUCGAGUUGCCACUUUCUUUGGGAGUUCUGCUCUGGGACUGGGGUUCUAUCACAUCGACACUCCUGUGGGUAAAGAAGCAAGUUGGCUGGACUUCAGGAACUGCGGAGAAGUUUGGAUCAUGAAAGGCGAAAUCAACAAGUCAGAUCUAGUUAAGAAUCUCUCUGGUAUAUUUUGCAAAAACAAACAAUGGACGUGGCAGAUCAGGCCACUGUCAGAGAAGAAGUUCCUGGUCAGAUUCCCACCCUGGAAAGAUGUCGAAGAACUGAUUGAAUUCCCUGCCUUUGAUCUGCCCAUCGAUGGAGUGUCUGUGUCUGUGGAAAAGUGGACCGGUUCAGUUGACCCAUUCAGCGAACUUACUGAAGCAUGGGUAGUUGUUGAGGGUCUGUCAUCCAAAUGGUGCACAUGGAAAGUCUUAUCUCAAAUUGCUUCCUGCUUUGGAAUCCUUGUGGAUGUAGAUUGGAAUGGUCUGAUGAAUAGCUUCUAUGAGAAAGUGAGGGUCAAAAUUGCUUGUAGGGACCCAGCUAAGAUCCCUUUCAAAAGGAUUAUGGAGAUGAGGAAAAAACUCUAUAUCUUAUCUUUUACUGUGGAAGGUUUUGACCAGAUAGGGGCUGAUGAUCCUAAUGAUGAUGAUGGACCUACUAACAUAGCUGUGGAUGAUGACAACAAGGUAUUUGAAGAGGAGGAACUGAAUAAAGACAUCCUGGAUGAUGGAGAGGAACCCAUAGAUGACCUAGACCUUGCCAACAGAGCCCCCACAAAAACUCCAGCUGGGAAGAAAGCGACUGAUGAUGGUGCUACAUUCCAUCCCCUGCUCUAUUGGAGGCAUGCAUCUCUCCUGUGA
rnacentral:rRNA from 1 species